GAGGUCAGCCGCCGCCGACUGGCCUGCCACGCUCACCGACGCCGCCGACGCCAGCGGCGGCCGAGAAAGGGUCAACGCUCCGGCGAGCGCGCGAGCGCGGGCGAGCGAUGCCCAAGAGAGCGGGUGAGGCCGGCUCGGUCCACUCGAACGCUGGACGCCGUUGAGCACACCACCACCGCAAGGCGCUGCUGCUGCAGCCCCCCCCCCUUCUCGCUCUCUCGCCUAAGUUGCAUGGCCCCGGCAGCCAGCGGCCGUGCCCGGACAGGUCUCUGGCCGCUGCUUCUUGCAUGGGAAAAGAAGCGGCGACGGCGGGACGCCAGCCUCCACCGCCAGGGGUGGUGGAGGGAAGCGGCUCCUUCGAGCAGGCUUCCAGAAGCCGACGACCUCCGUGGGUUUAGCCGACCCGACCGAACGGCCGGCCGACGGGACCGGCUAGCCGGUCCGGUGGCGAACCGUACGCCCACCUGCUACUUCUGUGGGGGGCUACCGUCGUCUCUCGUGUCCUCUUCCGGCUUCCAGAAGACUCCGCCACCUUCGAGGUGACACUUGGAAUACGAGCCCUAGCAGCGAUAGAGCCCCGCAACAACACGAACCCCGAGCACCACCGCGGCCUGGUCGUUUCCGUCGCCAGCACGGAGGGACGCCCUCCUGAAGUGACCGAGCAUGCGUCCCCCCGGGCUCGUUCUUGAAAAGCGAAACGAACAGGAGGCCACUGCAAUCGACUGGAAGCGUCACAAACCUCCCGAUCCAAGCCACUGCGUUAACAAAAUUGAGUUAUUUAAAUUCUGGGGGUUUUUAAGUGUUAGAACCACAUUCCGAUUAUGAGGCACGCCGUAGUGGGGUAGGCUGGAAUAACUUUGACCACCUGGGGUUCUUUAACGCGCACCCAGGUCUAAGUGCACGAGCGAUUUUGCAUAUCGCGGCCCUCAAAGUGCGGCCGCCACGACAGGGAUUGAACCCGGGACCUUGAGCUCAACAGAGCAACGCCGUGACCACUGGGCAUCGCGACGGGCAGCACCUCCCCCUUCCCCCCCCCCCCCCAAGAAAACAUACAAUCGGGCCACGGGAAGACAUCGGGAAUCCUAAACGUCCUUUCUAUUGAUUUGUUCGAAUAACACGAAAACGGAAACAGCGACAAAUGUCUCACUCGAACGCGUUCCUGGUUAUUUGCGCUUGUGUGCUAAGACGGAGCACUGGGAGUGACAAACAGCGCCAGCGCCGGCCACAGUUGAACAGCACCGAGCAUCGGUGGCGACGAAGUUGACGACCCCAAUCAAGGUUGACCUCACCGAGACAGUCCUGAGCCCCGAGGUUUCCAUGGCGCAUCCGCCCUGCACAGUUCUGUCGGCAAUGCCCAUGGAAACCCCGAAGUUCUCGGCCAAGCCUACCAGAACAUCAGCCACCGCCACACACCGAGUCUGGAACUCGCAUGGUGCCGCCUCUUUAUUUUUCACAGUGGCAAGACGAUUCGGACCGUCGAAGACGGGAACAUCGGUCUCAGAAGUUGAGCGACAGCCUCAAGGAAAAAUAAAGCUGAAUUCAACUGAA